AACGAACGCUGGCGGCAUGCCUAACACAUGCAAGUCGAACGAGACCUUCGGGUCUAGUGGCGCACGGGUGCGUAACGCGUGGGAACCUGCCCUUAGGUUCGGAAUAACUCCCCGAAAGGGGUGCUAAUACCGGAUAAUUUCUUCGGACCAAAGAUUUAUCGCCUUUGGAUGGGCCCGCGUUGGAUUAGCUAGUUGGUAGGGUAAAAGCCUACCAAGGCGACGAUCCAUAGCUGGUCUGAGAGGAUGAGCAGCCACACUGGGACUGAGACACGGCCCAGACUCCUACGGGAGGCAGCAGUGGGGAAUAUUGGACAAUGGGCGAAAGCCUGAUCCAGCAAUGCCGCGUGAGUGAUGAAGGCCUUAGGGUUGUAAAGCUCUUUUACCCGGGAUGAUAAUGACAGUACCGGGAGAAUAAGCUCCGGCUAACUCCGUG
rnacentral:rRNA from 1 species